UCCGGUUUAACACCGGCAGUCCCUCUAGAGAUCCACUUGCGUGGCAACUAAAGGCGAGGGUUGCGCUCGUUGCGGGACUUAACCCAACAUCUCACGACACGAGCUGACGACAGCCAUGCACCACCUGUGCACUGGCCCCGAAGGGCUGCCGCGUUUCCGCGACAUUCCAGUGCAUGUCAAGCCCUGGUAAGGUUCUUCGCGUUGCGUCGAAUUAAACCACAUGCUCCGCUGCUUGUGCGGGCCCCCGUCAAUUCUUUUGAGUUUUAGCCUUGCGGCCGUACUCCCCAGGCGGAACACUUAAUGCGUUAGCUACGGCACGGAACCCGUCGAUAGGGUCCCACACCUAGUGCCCAACGUUUACGGCGUGGGCUAC
rnacentral:misc_RNA from 1 species